rnacentral:rRNA from 1 species
GGACUACCGGGGUUUCUAAUCCCGUUCGCUCCCCUAGCUUUCGCACCUGAGCGUCAGGCACCAGCCAGGACACUGCCUUCGCCUUUGGUAUUCCUCCGGAUAUCUACGCAUUUCACCACUCCACCCGGAAUUCUAUGUCCCUCUCUGGUCCUCUGAGUCCACCGGUUUGCGCGGCGCUCUCCCAGUUAAGCCGGGAGCUGUCACCUCACACCUGGUGGACCGCCUGCGUGCGCUUUACGCCCAGUAACUCCGGACAACGCUCGCCUCCUACGUAUUACCGCGGCUGCUGGCAC